GCGGGGAGGCCGAGCCGGGACUGGCAGGACCCGGCACGCGGCGCGAGCUGCGGCUGCAGGUUAAGCUUCACCCUCGGCGCCCUCGUGGCUUCCCUCUUGUGCGCGCCCGCGGCGGCCAGCCGAGAGGAAGCGUUUGGCCUGAUUCGUUCAACUUCGGGGGCAUUGGCCGCGCUCUGGCCGCCCUCCCGGGUCUCCCCCCGCGCCCCUGCAGCGUCUCGCUUCCCCGGGGCUCCGGAAGGAAAGGAGGCGUGUCCGGAGCAGGCGGGAGGGACCGGUAUAAAAGUGCUGGCGGCGCGCCGGGCCGGGCUUCACUUGCCGCCUUGCGCCGGGACGAGGAGCGCCGCGGGAAGCACGGGCCGUGGAGAGGGCGCUGCGCUCGGGCUACCCAAUGCGUGGACUAUCUGCCGCCGCUGCUCGUGCAAUAUGCUGGAGCUCCAGAACAUCUAAACGGAGUCGCCACACCGCUGCCUGGGCUGGAUCACAGCGCUGCCUUUCCUUAUGAAGAAGACACAAACUUGGAUUGUCACUUGCAUUUAUCUUCAACUACUCCUAUUUAAUCCUCUGGUGAAAACUAAAGGGAUCUGCAGGAACCGUGUGACUGAUGAUGUAAAAGACGUUACAAAAUUGGUGGCAAAUCUUCCAAAAGACUAUAAGAUAGCCCUCAACUAUGUCCCCGGGAUGGAUGUUUUGCCUAGUCAUUGUUGGAUAAGAGUGAUGGUGGAACAGUUGUCAGUCAGCUUAACUGAUCUUCUGGACAAGUUUUCAAAUAUUUCUGAAGGCUUGAGUAAUUACUCUAUCAUAGACAAACUUGUGAAAAUAGUGGACGACCUUGUGGAGUGCAUGGAGGAACACUCAUCUGAGAAUGUAAAAAAAUCACCUAAGAACCCAGAACCCAGGCAUUUUACCCCUGAAGAAUUCUUCAGAAUUUUUAACAGAUCCAUUGAUGCCCUCAAGGACUUGGAAACAGUGGCAUCUAAAACUAGUGAAUGUGUGCUCCCUUCAACAUUAAGUCCUGAAAAAGAUUCCAGAGUCAGUGUCACAAAACCAUUUAUGUUACCCCCUGUUGCAGCCAGCUCCCUUAGGAAUGACAGCAGUAGCAGUAAUAGGAAGGCCGCAAACCCCCUUGGAGACUCCAACUUGCAGUGGGCAGCCAUGGCCUUGCCAGCAUUCUUCUCUCUUGUAAUUGGGUUUGCUUUUGGAGCCUUAUACUGGAAGAAGAAACAACCAAAUCUCACAAGGACAGUUGAAAAUAUACAGAUUAAUGAAGAGGAUAAUGAAAUAAGUAUGUUGCAAGAAAAAGAGAGAGAGUUUCAAGAGGUGUAAUUGUGGCUUCUAUCAACACUGUUACUUUCGUACCUUGUGAAUCAAGCUGGGUUUAAAACGAAGCUCUGGAUUGAUUACAAAUGGACUCCUCACACAUUACAAGUGGUGAAAUCGGAGGUGGCAUUCUCCUUCAUAAAGUAUUACUCAUCAUGUCCACUGAGCUCGCUCAAGACUGAACUCCGGUACCACCACUUCAAAAAGCCGACUUCCCAAAUUUAUGACCAGCUCAUUAUAUUUCAUGUGACAGCUCAUACAUCUUGAAAUGCCCAUGCGGGUAACAGUUCAUGUUUGCUUCAUAAAUGAAGCAGCUUUAAACAAAUUCAUAUUCUGUCUGGAGUGACAGACUGCAUUUUUAUCUGUUCUUGCUACCCAUGACUCUAUGGAUGAUUCACAAAUUGGAACAAAGUGUUUUACUGUGAAACUGGCGCUGAAUUAAUCAUCUAUAAAGAAGAACUUGCAUGGAGCAGGACUCUAUUUUAAGGACCUGGGGGACUUGUGGUCUCAUUUAGAACUUGCAACUGAUGUUGGGAGAGAAAGCACGUGCCCCAGACUGCAUGCACCAUUUUGCAUGCCUCCAGAAGUGUCUAAUUGCUGAAAAGCCACAUAGCUUGAUUUUCAGUUACAACCUGCAGCUCACAGUUAUCUUGGCCUCUGCAAGUAGAUUUCAUCCUGAAUAGUGGGGGGUAAUAAUUUUUCUCAAAGGGAUCCAGAAAAAAAUUUAAAAACAAAUGUCAAUAACAUCAACAACUCUACAUAGAGAAAACAGUGGGGAUAAAAUAAUUGGAGUAGACAGCAUGUCAGCCUUGUAGAUGCUAAUGAAUGGUCUGGGUCUGAUCUCGGUCUCUUCUCGACAUAAACCUGUAUCCCAUUAGACAAAUGGACAUGGUUAGCUGGAUCUAACCAUGACUAUGAGCCAGUAUUGAAUUAGAACAUUGAUGUCAUCAACAAAAUGAAACACAACCUACAGAAUGGGAGAAAAUGAUUGCGUAUCAUGUAUCUGAUAAUGGGCUAAUAUCUAAAAUCUACAAAGAACACCUACAACUCAAUAGAAAAAAUAUAUAUAAUUUAAAAAUGGGCAGAAGAUCUGAAUAGACAGUUUUCCAAAGAGGAGCUACAGAUGCCCAACAGAUAAAUGAAAAGUUGCUGAACAUUAGUCACCAGAGCAAUGCAAACCAAAACCACAAUGAGAGAUUCCCCCCAUAUCUGUUAGAAUGGCUAUUAUCUAAAAAGAUGAUAGUAAGUUUGGGUAAGGAUGUGGAGAAAAAGGGAACCCUUGUGCCCCGUUGGUGGAAAUGCAUAUUGGUGCCGUCACUAUGGAAAAUUUUGAGUUUGCUCAAAAAAUUUAAAAUACAACUGCCAUAUUAUCCAGGAAUUCCAUUUCUGGGAAUUUAUCCAAGGAAAAUGAAAACUAAUUCUAAAAGAUGUAUAAACCCCUAUGUCCUUUGCAUUAUUUACAGUGGCCAAGAUAUAGAAACAAUUAUAUAAGUGUACACCAAUGGGUGAAUGGAUAAAGAUGAUGUGUGUAUGUGUGCAUGUACCUAUAUGUGUGCGCGCACACACACACACACACACACAAUGGAUUAUCAUUCAGCUCUAAAAAUGAAAUCUUACCAUUUGUGAUAAUAUGGAUGGACCUUGAGGGCAUUAGGCUAAGUGAAACAAGUCAGAACAACAAAUACCAUAUGAUCUCUUAUAUGUGGAGUCUAAAAAAAUUUAAAAAAGACAAAAAUACCAAGCAUACAAAGAAAAGAUUGGUGGUUGCAAGGGAUGGGGUGGGGUAAUAAAUGAAUGACCUAGGUUUUUUAUUAGUUUAAGUUGAAUAAAAAUGUAAAAAUAAUAAGCCCUUCCCCCAAAUAUUGAUGCCUUUACAGAGAGGAAAAUUUCCAAAAGACUUAGGACCCAAAGCUAAGAACACUGAAUAUCAGGACAGUCACUGAGGAACACAUUCAACACCCUUUCCCCCUGCCACUAUCAGAGUGUAUAAAUUGUGCUUGCAAAAUAUAUUAUGAAAUGUUUAUAUUCUAAAAAUACUACAGAGUUAUAUAAAAGGACUACAGAGAAAUUGCUGACUAUAUGAAGGUGCAAUUUUCAAUUUACAUCAUGAGAGAAAGUAAAAAUAAAUUAUAUUUAGUAUCUAAGAAAACCACACCCACAUUAUAAUAUGGGUAUUGAAAACUAGGUUACUUGGCUUUUAUAAGGCAGCAUGGAAUCAGGAAAUUUUAGUUAUUUUUCAUAUAAUCACCAUUAUCAGCUUAAAGGAUCCAUUUAUUUAAAAUUAGUCACUGUGUAUUCAUUAAUGUUUAUGAAAUAAAGCUAGCGAGCUUUACAUAGUUACACAUGUCAGUUUGCUAUUUAAAACAUGUAACAGCAUUUGUCCUAUUAAGAGUGAAUUUGUAAGAAUUCCAAAGAUGGACAUCAUGCUUUUAAACUAAAGUUGUUAAGACAUUAUGUGAAUUUCCAUUACCAAUUUUUUAUAGGCAAAGAAGCAUCUGACUGAAAUGAAUUCUUAUGGUUUAUUUUGAUGAAAAUACUUUUACUAUAUCAUGAACAGAUACAUAAAGGAAUCCAAAGCUCUCUAUUGUAACCUAAUUCUUGUUAUAACAUUGUUGUCAUGUUCUACCCCUCAGAUGGCCAUUUGCAGUGUAGUGAUUAAAAAAAAAGAAGAAAGAAAGAAAUCAUGAAAAACUGUGAGCUUUCCUUUGAUUUCAAAAGUCCAAGAAUUUCUAGCCUAGUUGGAUUUUAGAUUAUGUUCAAAGCAGAUCUAAAUCAACUCCAGUGAAGUGGCCUUUGCUCUAUUUUUAUACCAAAGAGCCCAGAUGCUUUCUGUGAGCCCUUCCUUCUCUAAAGUGCUGGGGUUCCUUAAAAGGUAGUCAUUUCUCUAAGAUACAACCCAGGUGCUUUGGGAAACUUCAUUGACUUAUUCAGGCCCUUAAAUAUCCCCUGAUACAAUCGAUUAGUAAUAAACCCAGAGAUCAGUUUAUUUGCUGAAAGGACCUAUCUCAGUGUGUGACAUUGGUUAUUUUGAGGAAAAUAGAUAUAAAUAUGUCUGAAUUAUAUGUGUAGGUCAGGUGUAGAUUGAGAAAAUUGAUACUUCUCAGUUUAAUAAUUUGAUUUAUUUCACCAGUGGUUUCGAAUCGCUUAGGCAUGAGAAAAUGCUGUUUUGUGGGCUUGAGAGUACAAGAAAAACACUUUUGUUCUCAAAGCUAGGAACUGGGUUUUAUCACUCAAGGAGAUGGUUCUAAUCAAUAGACUUAAAUAAACGAAUUCAGUAAGUUAUGAAAUAUGGCAUGGUAGGCAAGGGAUAAUAUAUUCUGCCUAAUUAAAUACAUUGGUUCAUUGAGAGUUACGUGAAUUACCAAUUUUUAAAACACUAAAGUUUGAUAAAAUGCAUGAACAGUAGAAAAAGGCUGAACAUUAUUUUGGAUGCUAGCUGCUUGGGAAUUGUCAUAUCUGCUUUGAGAUAAAUAUAUAGAUCUAUAUAUAGAACUAUAUAUCUUUGCUUUGUUUUAUCCAGUACAUGUGCUGAAUAUCCUUCAGAAAUCAUGGAAAACUCACAACUGAUAUUAUAAACCAUGAAAUCACCUUUUAAAUUGGUGCCAUGUAUCUGAUAGUUCUCUUGUGUAACAUUUCAAGACUGCCUUUUAAAAUGAUCUCAGAAGUCUGCAGAUUUUAAAUUAUACUAAAAGCUUUGCACCUCUGGUGGAACAGAAGCCUAUAAAGAAACCGGCCCUAUGAUAAAUGGUGCCUGUUCAGUGAUAUCGAAGUGUUGUUGGAUUUUGUAUUAUAAUCUUAACGUGUUCACCACACUGCCACUUUUAAAUGAGUCAAAUUGUUUUUUUUUUCAACAUGAUAAUAGCAUAAGUACCCUAUUGUCUUUAAAAAAGGAUUAAGUAUGUGAAGAAUGAAAAUGUACGAGAAAGUAUGUGUUUAUAAUGCAGUGUUUGCUUAUAAUAAGAAUUAAACACAUUUCUUUGAGUAUUAAAGUACUUUGGGGCAACUGUGGCAUAUUUUGGUAUUCUAGUUCAACUGAGGUUUGAAAGUAACAAAAAGCAUUCAGAAUUCAGCUAUCUCUUAAUGUGUUUGUGCAGCUGGGUUUGGGUUUCAAAAUGUAAUUCCAAUGUGAGGCCUUUAACCAUUCCCACCCAUUCUUUAAGAAAUCUUUUUUCAAAAAGAGUGUGGAACAGCGAGGUGGUUGUGUGGGAAAAUUGUCAGAAGCCUCCCCUCUGCUGUUAACUGAUGUGGGUUAAGUCACCUCUUCUCUUUGGAUCUCAAUUUUUUAUUUAUCUUUAUGGUCAAGUUGGAGGUCACAUCGCCUUAGGUAUGAGCCCUAUUGAUAUGUGACUGACAAAAACGAUAAAAUAGAUCUGGAAUUAUUCCAUAUAAAAUGUUCAACUCUGAUCUCUGUGAAUAAGCAAUUUGAACAUAAAAAGUCAUUGCUAUUCUUGUCUGUAAUGUAAAUAGGAUCCAUUAGUAAAAGUAAAAUUCAGUCUCAUGUAGGGUGAAUUGGAUAACCAUUUACACAAGAGAUGGCUUUUUCCUUUGCUUAAGUAAACAUUUUUGGAUCACCUCUGAAGAACGAAAACCACAAUUACAGUUUAGAAAGAGAUACUAUAAGAUAUGUGUGACUUUUAGAAUUGCACCAAAUUAAGCUUAUUUAAAUGCUCUCAUUUUAUUAAAAGCUUAGAGCACAAAAUGUAAGAUGCUCAAAGUUUUUGAGUGCCAAGAGAUCAUUUAUAAUCCAUUUGGAAAGGGGUCAUCCAUAAAUUACAUUUUAAAAUUAGAAAGUGGUAUAAGAAUUUUAAUUAAGCCAGCUUGUCUUUGAAACAGUAUUAUUUUAUGAGAUUGGCAGUAAAAUAUAAACAUUCAGAUUGAAAGUCUAGUAAUUUAUGUGUUUGAUCACACAAUUUAUGAUGUUGCUGCUUUCCAUUAACAAGUCUGGAAAUGCCUUUGUUACAGAUAAAAUAAUGGUACUUUCAUUUCCUAACAAGAUGUUUUAGAAAUAAUUUAUAUUAAAGUGGAUAUUCAUAAUCCUAAAAUGUUUCCUAAGCACUGUAAAUUUAUAACUGCCGUCUCCAACUAUGUCCUUAUGAUGUUAUUUUUAAAAAUAUAAUUAAGAUAAUUGUUUAAACUAAAAACCAUAGUAUUUUCAAUUACUUGAUUUCUCAGCUAUAAGACUCAAAAAUUUUCAAUAAGAAUAUCCUAUUCUAUAUUCUAAGGAUUAAUGUGCGAUUAUAGUGUCCACUUGUCACUAUUUUUUAAAUCGAUGGACUUGAAAGUAUUCAAACAUUUAGAUGGAUGCAUAGAUAUAUUGCUAGUUCAAUCAUAGAUUGGAGUUUGCAUAUUGUAAUGUAAAUGUAUGUCAACACUAUUCUAGUUUAUUAUGACUGAAGUGUAAGUAAAUAAAAAAGGUUGUAAAAUGUGAUGUGUAUGUGUAUAUACUAUAUGUGUACUUUUUAAACUAGGUUUAUGUCCUGACCCCUUUUUAUACAGGUUGAAUUUGAAAUUACAUUAUAUAUACAUAUACUUUAUUGUUCUAAAUAAAGAAUUUUAUGCACUCUCAGAA